CUUCUAUUUCAGGACAACAUCACUUGGUUUGGGCAUGAGCCAGCCUUCCAGAGGUGCUCUGCCACCACUUUCCUCAGUGCAAAGCUACCAGAAGGCCACCUGCUGCCCGAGGCUUACCAAGAGCUGUCCUGGAAUGCUGAGCUUCCACCUGCCUGACACGAGGAGAGCAUUUCACAGAAUUUACUGUGCAAUGGAAUUUACCCUACAGGCUGCUUUCUUCCUUAUCCCACAGGGGCAGCCUGUGUAAAUUCUUUCAGGAUGACAUUAAAUCAUUCAGCUGCACCCAUUGUGUUGGAUUCAAUAUAACGCAGACCAAAGAACAUAUAGGCCAAAUGCCCUCUGUCUCUCAGGAAUUACAUGCUUGCUAGGAGUAAAUUAUGGUGUAUUAUAAUAGAAAAAUAUUGUCGUGAGUUAUUUGUGGCUAAACACCAAAACAAAGUACUAUGUGGCAACAUCUGAUACACAACUGACUUAAAGCCAUUUGCCCGAAGGAAUUAGUUGCUAACCAAAAUCAUUAUCAUUAACUUGUUCUGUAACACAACUUUGCACAAAGGAAAAACAAAGCGCUUCUGGCAGCCAUGAAAAUCCCCAUCCUUAGGCUAAAACGUAGCUAGAUGUUGGGCCACACUCCUCAGCCUCCUCCACUCCAUCUAAGCUGGAUAAACUGGAGGCUUCACUUUGAACUCAGUCCUCCCUUUUCAGCCUCCAGCUCCACGCUGAUCUGCUCCCGUGCUCAGUGCCGCAAGCCAGCCUUAUACACCCGGUGUUCCCCAUACACUCUGAACUGCUCUCAUUUACUUUUCCAUUUCAUUUCACCCAAUUUGUUUCCCUGGGCCCUCUGGAGCCAUCCUGACCAGAGCCUCUGGAUGCUAUCACAAUACAAACAAUUCGAGGUGAAAAAGGCUGCGUUCUGAAAAUGGAAGAGGACUCUUGGAAAGAAUUUGAACCUUUCUAGAAUAAAUAAAACAUCUUAAAUGUUAUUCAAAUAACUUGCUUUCAUCUCUCUUUUUAUUUCCUUAAAGUUAAUUGGAAAGAAAGAAAGAAGUCACCAGGACACGUUCCAGGAGUCUCCUUGGUAUAAAUCAGGCAGCACACACUGCAGACCAGUAACAAUGAAAUGACCCCUUAAAGUAUUGCAUUUCUUGCCAAGCAUAACCUCUUCAGGCACUUUAAACUUUACCAUUGGCUAGAAUUUGAGAGCUGAAAGUCCGUCUUUUCCUAGUUGAAGUUGAGUAAUGACUGAGACACGAUUGAAGUUGAGGCACAGAGAAAGGAAAAAGGGCUAAAGCGACCCAUCUCGGCUGCUGUUUUCAGUAGAAAAGCACGUCUGAGAUUUAAGAAGGAGAUACUCUCAGCCUAUAAACCCCCAGAUUCUCCUCCAGGGUUAGAACAUCAUAUUCCCAUCAUCUGUAAUUUGGGUGCAUCUCUUUCCCAGGAUGCCUGUAGAAAUGACUUGCUGUAUUGGGCCUAUUUACUUCCAGACGAGAUCCAGUCCUGGAGUGCUCAGCAAGCUGGAGGUGAAAUGAAAGGGAAGGGGAAGGAUCCACGUGGGACCUGGCUUGUGACAGACCCCUCCAGACUCUGCUCUAACGUCUUAUUCCACCAACACAGAAAUCGGAAUCACAGCAGUCAGGCAGUUCUAUUUACAAAUGAGUGAAAAGCAAAUACCACAGAGUUUUAUUCCUCCCACUUUUCAAGUUUACAACUUCGUUACUGCAGUGCCUGUGCCCUUGAUGGAUUGGAUUCUAAUGGGACACAGGAAACACAAACAGAUGACUAACAUUAGCCAGUAAAUGUAAGCACCAGGGAAAGCCAAAAAUAGGUUGCUUUUAGCUCCUCCCAUGUUAUCCAGCAAUUCAGAACAAGAAAAAACACUGAGAAAAAAAAAAUCAUAAUUUGCUCUUAAAUAGAACCUUCUGUUAGAGGGUAUUGGAGCAGUGUAUGACUGUUAAAUAUUUGGUACUAAUGUGAGGAGUGUUUGAUACCCAAGUGCAGGGGUAAAAAUCCAUCAGAAGAACAGUAGACAGCCAACCUGAAUAAAAAUGUAUUGCACAUGCGACUGUGGGUGUCACUGAAAACAUGGAAAACAUUUAGACAAGAAAAUGAAAAUACCUGAAAUAUAAAAUUCUUUGUGUCAAAAUAUUUCAGAAAAUCAUUCCUCUUAAAUAUUUUUCCUUUAACUGCCUUCUGUUAUGCAAAUUAAUAAUAAUCCACCUCUCCGCAAUCCCCUCCUUCAAAAGAAAAUGUGUUUGGCUCGACUGUGGCAUUAAACAGAUCUCCAGGUUUUGAGGGAGAAAAUCCCAGCUGUUCUUCUACCUCUCCUGCUCACAAAACUCAAGUGGCUUUGUGCAGUUAUUAACAAAAUAACCACAUGAAGUGGAACACUUCAAAAAAAAAAAUCCAAAAUAGUUUAAAAAAAUGAGUAACUUUCCCCUGCAUUCUGCACACUUCGUUGCUGUGCAUGCUGAAGAGUAAUUUGAUACUAACAAGUCUCUUGCAGUUUGUCUUUUAGCAUCUCUGCCUGUAUUAAAAAGUAUAUAAAUAUAGGUAUAUUAAAUCACCUCUGCAUCAAAUAACAGAAAAUAUUUUAUCACAUGAAGCGAGGUUCCUGACUAAUCUGUGUGAAGACAACCAUAAGGGACAUGCACCAAGCAAGUAGAGAUAAAGAAGAAUGAAUGCCUGUUUUCAGGGCUUCCUGCAGCUACACUUUCACAUCAGUCUCCCAGCCCAGUUCACAAAAUAAGCUGCUGCCAUCUUAUGGAAGAGACUCUGAAAAGCAUUUGGUAUAAAAACAGUCCUAGUCCUGAUCUCUCUCUCCCUUUCUGCUUUUUUUUUCAUGACAUUCAGUUUACUGUGUGAUUAAUAAUGACUUUUUUUUCCCCCUCCAGAAUUUCCUUGCUUUGUAACUAUGUCUAUUGUACCGAGUUAUUCUUUGUGGAAGUCACUUUCUCAGCUAUGAUUUUACUGUAAUUUUCAGAGCAUCCAGGAAGUCACAUGGAGCAGUGCGCUGAGAAAGGGAGCAAACCAGCCAGCCUCUGAGUUCUGACACCACUUCACACAGAGGUUUCUUGUACUGCACCACAAAAGCCAGCUGGAGCCAUUCAGCCACUACAGGAUAAAGUCAUCAUUUUUGCUCAGUCUUAAGGAAGUCAUUCUUUGUGCUCCAUCCCUGGCCUUUUCUACGUGGUCUGCUUAAACCAGAUUAACUAACAGUGUGAUUUUUAACAUGCUUACUAAGAUAAAUGAAAAUAUGCUAGUGUAAGCCUGAAGCCAGCAAGUAUACAAGAAUUUAAUUUCUCCAUCUAUAAGCUAUAGCUACAUGUGCAGAACUUGAGGGAGCUUUGCAGAGUUAUUUUGUCUAACUUAUAAAAGGGAACACCUGCAAGCUUUUGUGUUACUGCGUGAUAGAAAAGCAAGAUUUCAGACACCUGAGAGAGGACAGCAGUCAGCAAGGCUAAGACAUUGCUUUUGAUUUAAAUGUUCAAAAUGACUAUUAAGUUUUACACCAUAACAAAAA